ACCGGCGCACGGGUGAGUAACGCGUAUCCAACCUGCCCACCACUUGGGGAUAACCUUGCGAAAGUAAGACUAAUACCCAAUGGUGAUGGAUGGGGAUGCGUCUGAUUAGCUUGUUGGCGGGGUAACGGCCCACCAAGGCUACGAUCAGUAGGGGUUCUGAGAGGAAGGUCCCCCACAUUGGAACUGAGACACGGUCCAAACUCCUACGGGAGGCAGCAGUGAGGAAUAUUGGUCAAUGGACGAGAGUCUGAACCAGCCAAGUAGCGUGCAGGAUGACGGCCUAUGGGUUGUAAACUGCUUUUAUAAGGGAAUAUGUACCUUAUGAAUAAGGACCGGCUAAUUCCGUGCCAGCAGCCGCGGUAAUACGGAAGGUCCGGGCGUUAUCCGGAUUUAUUGGGUUUAAAGGGAGCGUAGGCCGGAGAUUAAGCGUGUUGUGAAAUGUAGAUGCUCAACAUCUGCACUGCAGCGCGAACUGGUUUCCUUGAGUACGCACAAAGUGGGCGGAAUUCGUGGUGUAGCGGUGAAAUGCUUAGAUAUCACGAAGAACUCCGAUUG
rnacentral:rRNA from 1 species